rnacentral:lncRNA from 1 species
UUUUUUUUAAAUCAAUCAUCUACAAACUCAUGCUGACUCUGUAAACCAAACCGGUAACUCUGUCCAUGUGAACGACGAAAGACGGUUGUUUCCUAGCACUGCGUGCUAAGCUAUCCGCCUUUUGAUUUUCUGUCUGAGGUACAUGAACGAUCUCUGAGUUUAGAAAGCUUCUUUUCAGCAGUUUAAUGUCUUCCUGAUAAUUAUCAAACGCUGGCCAUUCUUCUGGUUCCGAAACCAUUUUUAUCAAUUGAGAACAAUCUGUCGCAAAUGUGACCUGAAAUUACCGUAAAUUCCUCAUGCAUUCCAUUGCCCAUAUUAGCGCUUCUACCUCCGAAUGAAGAAGUGAAAGACUUGCCCGGACAUUCCGUGCCCCUAGCAAUCCAUCAAAACCCGCUAAAGUGAUGUACCAGCCUUGUCCUGAGAAUUGUUCCUUAUCUUUCCAUGAGCAAUCUAUGAAACACCAUUUUCCUGGUAUUGUUGGU